ACUUUGAAUGUGUCUGUUUGGUUCUUAGGAUGAUGCAGACCUCUGACCUCUGUGGCCUGCCCGCAGAGUUCACAGGGCGUUCCAAGGGAGAUCAAAUGGGACCUGAAAUGUAGAAACUUCCUGGUAACCAGAAAGCUCUCUACAAAUGAAAUCGGCACCAAGUUGCAGAUGCUACUGUGACUCCCUCCUGACUUCCCUGGGCAGACAGCCGCACCAAUGUGUCCUGAAGCUUCACCUCUUCAGAGCGUAGCUACCGGACUAUGGAAAGAUAGAAACAGGCUGGGCGUAUGGAUUGACCCGCCAAUGCCCAUGUCCAGCAGAAGAGCAAUUACAAAAGUCAGAACUCCCGCAUUCUGCACCCCCAAAAUAAUUUUGAUCCAUAGUACCUGUGGGGGAGAAAUAUUAGGGGAAAAUGACCAGAGGACUCUGAACUUCAAUUCCAUCAGGACCCAGAGAAAGAAGAGGAAAAAGGGAAAGGGGCAUUCAGAAGGAGUAAUAGAUGUCGGUGUGACUUGGAAAGGAAGAGAAGGCAGGGCCAUGGGGAGAAUGAGCAAACGUGUAUAAAUGUAGAUAGUUCUAGAAAUAAUAGUCAACCCAUAUCGCUGACCUUAGGAGAACUGCUGCAGUUUCUCGUGGAGGGAAUGGGGACACAGAAAUCUGGUGGUGGGAAUGGUGCAGAAUUAGACUCCUGUAAUCACAUCAUUCUGUAGUCUAUUGUAAAUCACUAAUAAAAAAGAAACAAAAAGGGGUCGGGCGGUGGCGCAGUGGGUUAAGCGCAUGUGGCACAAAGCGCAAGGACUGCCGUAAGGAUCCCGGUUCAAGUCCCCAGCUCCCCACCUGCAGGGGAGUCGCUUCACAGGCGGUGAAGCAGGUCUGCAGCUGUCUAUCUUUCUCUCCCCCUCUCUGUCUUCCCCUCCUCUCUCCAUUUCUCUCUGUCCUGUCCAACAACGAACAACAUCAACAAUGGCAAUGACAGUAACCACAACGAGGCUAUGGCAACAAGGGCAACAAAAGGGGGAAAAAAGUGGAUUCAUGGUGCAGGCACCGAGCCUAGCAAUAACCCUUGAGGAAAAAAAAAAAAAAAAAGAAAAGAAACAAAAAGAAAAAAACAAGGUCCAGAGAGGUCAACUUACUUAGUUAAGACCACUCAAUUUGUUAACGGUAAAUUCAUAAUUUGAUUUCAGAUCUCAUUCUCACAAGCUCAUUACAUUUUCUUUCUUUUUUUU